UGAGAAGCCGGAGGCCGAGAGGGCCGGGCCGACUUGAAGAGGUGGGGAUUGCUGAGGGCUGGUCUGUCGGCUCUGGAAAUCCUGUCAUACUGUCACUUUUGGAUUCCGCCGUUUCCGUCCCAACGGAAAACUGGGGCUCCUGGAUUCCCCUGACCCGAGUUGUAACCACCGACGAGAAUCUUUUUCACUGGCGGCCUCGGCGUCGGCAUUUUAUAAAAUGAGAGCGGGGAGGGCGGCCGAAGACGAGUGUGCGGAGCCUUAGGCCCCCCGCUCGGGUCCGCUUUUCGUAUAUUCGGUUUUGGACAAAGAUGAAGAAACAAAUCUAGAGACUGGAUGACCUUGGAUCUCAGCUGUGAACCAAAGCCGUGGAGAUGAAGGAACUCUGGGAGUGAGUGAGGGAAGAGCAGUUGGUAUACAGACAGGGUGUUCCAGCUGCAAGAGGAGGGGAAUGCAGGAAUUGUCUUUUAAAUUUGUUAUCUGCACCUGAACUACACGUAUUCUUUAUCCUUGUGAAAAAUAAAAAUAAUUGCAGAUUAGGCUGAAAUCCAGCCUUCACAGAGGUAUCUGCUGUUCUAAGUGGAUCAAUGUCUGCAUGUGGUUUAUAUGUCUAUUAGUAUACAUGCUAGCUGCAGUGCCAGAAAAGCUUCCAAAUCUCAGUUGCUUAACACAAAAAAGUUUAUCUCUUGCUCAACACACAGUGUGAUGUGGUCGGGAGGUGACUCUGGGCAGCUGUUCCAGAAGGUGUCUCAGGGUCUAGGCUCAAAGUAAUGCUCAUCCCUUGCUUCUAACCUGUGGCAGGAAGAUUGAGUGGGACAUUUUAGGGGCUCAGCUAGAGGUAGCAUAUACUGAGUGUUGCAUAUUCCAACAGCCAGGACUCAGUCACACUGUCUUAAAGUAACUGCAAAGGAGACUGGGAAAUGUAGUAUUCUUAUGUGGGGAAGAUUUGUGAGCAUCAAGCAGAUCUUGCCACAAUAGUCAUGCCUAUCAAUAGGUUAUAUAUUGUAUUACAUGAUGGCAUGAGUAGGCAGUAGAAUAAAAGUGGUUGAAUUUUGGAUAUACAUUAUUUUGGCUGUAGAGUAGGCAGGGCUUACUGAUGGAUAUACAUGGGGGAUAAAGGAUAAAAGAAACCAAAUCUGAUUCCUGAGUUUUGGCAUGUGCAACAUGGGGGUUUGUAACACUGGAUUCUUGACAGAGAGGAAAAGAGACUUGGAGCAGGAAAAGUAUUAUUGGUGUUUUUUUUGUUUUGUUUUGUUUUGUUUUGGUGGGAGGAGUUCUAUUUUUCCAUUGUUAAGUUUGAAUUGCCUAUUAGAUAUUCAUGUGGAGAGGUCUGCAAGCCACAGGAGAAGACAGGGAAGUAGAUCUACAUUUGGGAGGCAUAGGCAUGUGGACAAUAUUGAAUGCCAGGAAGAGGGUGCAGAUAGAGAAGCAUGGAGAGCCUUUCUGUGAGUCCUGGGGCACAUCAAUAUCUAGAGAUGGAGCAGAGGAGAAGUCUAUGACAGAGAUAGAAAAGAACAUCCAGUUAGGUAGAUGGAAAACGAGGUAAAUGUAAUGACAUGGAUAUCUGAGAAGAGAUGAUUUCAAGAAGAAAGGUGGGGCCACCUUGCAUUGAAGACCACUAAGAAAGUGAGCAGGAGAGUGACUAAGAGGGAACCAUUAGUUUUGGCACCAUGAAUGUUACUUGAGGCUCUCAGUGGAACCAGUGUCCUUUCCUUCAGAUGCAGGAAACAGAAGCCAGUUGGAUGCAUUCUGGGAGAAUAGGAGUUGAGGAAAUGGAGGCAACAACCAUAGAUAGAUACUUUUUAUGACUAAAGAGAAUGAGAUGAAAGGAUACCCACCCAGGGUAUUAACACUGGUGGGCUCUGAGAUAUGGGAUCAGGCUCAUUCAGGAAAGUCUGUAUAUUGUUCUCAUUUGUGGCCACUGAACUCUCUGUUUUGCUACCAUGCAAAUCAGCUAUGAAUUGGAGAUAUAUUUUUUUAAAGUAUAGAACUAAGACUCUUGGACUGCUGAGGGGCACUGUGUGUGUGUGUGUGUGUGUGUGUGUGUGUGUGUGUGUCUAGGCAUGCUCUCAACACUUGGAGAGGCAGUUCAUGACCCUGUCUUAGAUUUUACUUCUGGCUCGUGCAGAGCUUCCUGGACAGCCUCAGGUGAGAACCUAGGGCCUUGUCAUGUCUUUCCUAGCAUACUUAUAGUCCUGAGUAUGCAUGCUAUUCCUAUGCAUGCUUAAAGCCCCCCAUGGACACUUUGUUCCCUGGAUUUUACUUUUUAAAAGCUUUUUUGGUUAGCUUGUUAUUUGAUCCACUCUUAUCACUACCUCAGGCAGCUGCAGUAUUAAACACUUGCCAUUGAUGAUUUUUGAUGAAUGCCUGUGGAGAAAAGGCCUUUCACACUGCAGGAAAUCUGAGUGAGGUAAAAUAAAGAGAAGACCUUUGAGUGGCGCUUUCUUAGGAAGCUCCAGAUUAAAUAAGGACAGUUGUCUAGGAUUGGGGUGUUGGAUGUUUCAACCUGUUCUUCCUCUCCAGUAGCUGCUAGGUUGCAGAUUUUAACUAUGAUUACUGAUUUUUGAUUUUCAAAGGUGCUGUGCAGUUGGGAUAAAGUGAGUAAGAAUAGAGCAAUUUAUAUGCCAAAAGAAAUGCUGUCCUUACCAAUAUUCAGCCAUUUUCUUGAAUAAAUGCUCUCUGGAUUAUUAUAAGAUUUUGGUUAAUUUCUAGAGUUCUGAAAGACUUGAUUUCAAUAAUUAUUGCCUGUGUUCCCAUUGCUUUUAUGGAGUAGGGGAGUUUUGGAGGUCCUUAUUCUGCCAUUCCCUUCUGACAUCACUCUAGCUGCUAUUUCUAGUAACUCCGUUUCCUGUCCAGUCCUCUUUGUGCUUACUCUCUGUUCUAUAUACUUUCUCUUUCAUCUUUUCAUCUUCCUUCUGAUUAUUUUAUUGGCUUUCUGCAUAAUGCAAGAUCAUGUUUGAAAUUACUCAAAUGUUAUCUUCCCUGAAUUGUUUAUUUCUGCACCAGUUGUCUUACAAUGAGUACUUUUUCAGCUAGGGAAGAGGUCAUUUGCAAUUGAGCUCUCAAUAGUUCUAGAAGGUGAGACAUGAAACAUACAAUAGGACAAUUCUGAACAAGGGUAUUCCUAAGUUGACUGAAAGAAUAUUCACAAGGAAAAGCUCUUUGUAAAAUUUAUUUCAAAAGGAGGGGAGGGAGACUUGAAGCUAGGUACAUUCAUCUUCAAUAAAGCAUUGACUGUGGAGAAAGGAAAUGAAUAUAGUAAAAUUGGAAGCCAGUUUUUAUCUGAGCUCAAAGCUAAUUCCUCCAAGGAAAGCAGCAUCUCAUAGUUAUUUGAGGGCAUUUGAAGUGUAAUUUUGAUACAGUUGAGAGAAACUGUGCUAGCAAGAAAUAUUAUAAACAUAAAAAUGUGGGAAAUUAUUAGUUCAACCUAUGCAUGUGUAAAACUUUUUUUAAUAUAAUAAUGUGGGACAACUUUCAGUUAUAACAAACUUCAUAAGACAUCAAGAGGUUCAUAGUGUAGAGGUUCCUAUAAGUGUAAUAAAUGUAGGAAGGCCUUCACUAGAAAAUUCCACUUCAUUGUGCAUAGAGAAGUCAUACUGGAGAGAAUUUUUAUGAUUUUAAUUAAAGUAAAAAGCCACAGUACCAGGGGUUAAAAUUCUUUAGCCACCCAAAAUUUGUAGAAAUGAUAAUCCUAAUCAAUAUAACAAAUAUGGCAAAGCUUUCUUCAGUGGAUAAUACUUUAUUGUAUAUCAGAAGAAUCACACAGGAGGGGAAAUUAGAUUCCUAUAGCUGCCAAAACAGAUAAGCACAAAUUGGGUGGCUUAAAACAACAGGAGUUUAUUCUCUCACAGCUUAAGAGGCCAGAAGUCAGAAAUAAAGGGAUUUGGGAAGUUUGUUCCUUCUGGAGGCUCUCAAGAAGAAACUGUUCUAUGCCCUUCUCCUAGAUUCUGCUGGUUGCCAGUAAUUUUUGGCAUUGCUUGAUGUGUAGCUAUAUCACUCCAGUCUCCAUCCUCACAUGGCUUUCUUCUCUGUGUGUGUCUCUGUCUCUUCUACUCUUCUUGUAAGGAAACCAGUCAUCAUAUUUAGGGCAUAUCCUAAUUUCAGUAUGACUUUAUCUUCAAUAAUUACAUCUGAAAAGACCCCAUUCCAAAUAAAGUUACAUUCCAAGAUUCUGGGUGGAUGUGAAUUUUGAGGGGGAGGUGGACACUAUUCAACCCACUACAAACCCCGUGAAUGUAGUAAAUGUGAGAAACCUUGUACCUGUAGCUCAGUUUCUGUACAACAAUAGUAAGAAGUCCUUUGAAUGCUAGCAAUGUGGGCAGUUCUUUAACUAUAAAUCAUCCUUCAUUAGUAUUGGAGAAUUCAUACUGGAGAGAAUACAGUAUAAACUGUAAUUAGUGUGGAAAUACUUUUCAAAAUAACUUCUCUUUUACUAAUGUAAAAACUCCUAAUACUCCUAAAUCUCAUUAAUAUAGUCAAUGUAUUAAAUUAUUUAGAUACCUCAUUAACCACAGAGAAUGCACAUUGAAGAGAAACCUCAUGAUUAUGUCACAGAGCCUUUAGCUAUAAAGACCUCAUUUAGAGAGCAAAUAAUUUACACUGGAGAAAACAUUAUCAAUUUAUUACAUUCAUCAGAAUGUAUAAGAGUUCAUUAAUUACUUGGCAUGUAAAGACUCAUGCACGUGGAUAAACAACAUGUGAGAACUCAUACAGGUGAAAAGCCAGUUUGGGAAAAUCACCUGGAAAAGAAACUUUGUAAAUCACUAAAUUCAUCCUGAGUACAUACUGAAUUAUUCUAUUAAUUUGGAAAAUUUGGAAUUCAUGUAAACAUAUUCUAAUAAAUUGAUAUUAUCAGAUACCAAAAAGAAAAACUUAUAAGCUUUAAGAUUCUUCAGUAUAGUGUUUAUAAUUUUUUGCAUAAUUUAAAUUAAUUCAGGUAGCAGAAUAAAAAUUCAAAUACACUGGAAAGGAAUAGGAAUAUGAUAGGGUAUGAUUCAGAGUCCCUACUCUCGUAGUACCUUACUUUUAUUUUUUAAACCAACAAGUUAGAAGGGAAACCUAUUUAUGAGGGUCAUGUACCAUAUUUUAUCAAAUCAAACUUGUAAUGAACUGUGAGAUAUGCCAUUAUUUUGUGUACCACUAAGACUUAAAAAACCUCCUAGACUAUGGUAUUUCAUUGAUUAUAAGAUGCAUCAUGAUUCAGAGGUGUUGAAAUGUGGGGGUAUAAGUGAACCCUACAAUGGAGUCUCUAAGCCAUAUGAUAAUUCAGUAAUAUUUCAUUAGGUAGAGGGAAAAAUGCAUUGGAUUUGAGCCCAAAUUAACAAAAUCUAAUCUUUUCCUCUCUACCAAAAAUCUUGUGCUGAAAUAGUAAUUGCACUUAUUUCUGUAAUAUUUUGCUUUCUUUUCAGAAAUCUUUUUUGGUAUUUCAGCAUGUGUAUGGAUGGUAUACUAAGAAUUGAUCACAUUUGGUUGUUGAGGGGCCAGGAUGGCUGAUUGGAAGUAGCUGCAGUCUGUGGCACUCACAGAGAGGAAUGAAAGGAGCAAGUGAAUUCAGCACCUUCAAUUGAGAUAUUCGGGUUCUCAUAUUGGGACUGACUAAGCAAAUAGCUUGACCCACAGAGAAUGAAAAGAAGUGGGGUGGGGUGAUGACCCACUUGGGAGCAGCACCAAGCCAAGGGAACCCCCACCCCCAGCCAAGGGAAGUGGUGAGUCAAUGCGUGACCCUUCCCCAGAAAUUACACUCAUCCCAUGGAUCUCUGCAAGCUGUGGAUCAGGAGAUCCCCUCAUGAGCCACAAUACCAGGGUCUUGGGCUCGAUACAUGGCCUGUGUGGAGUCUUGGCAGAGUGGCCACUCAGGCACACACAGACACCCAGGAGUUUUGCAUACUCCAGCCCCAGGAUCUGUGGCAAGGCAGAAGAUUCAUCUGUGCAUGUCCCUAGGAAGGGGGCUGAGUCUGGGGAGCCAAGUGGCAUCAUUCUGCAGGCCCCAUUUCCAUGGCAUCUCACAGGUUGAGACCCAAUGGCUUGGAAUUCCAGCCAGCCGGCAGCAGUAGGCUGGAGUCUGCCUGAGUCUGGACCAAGUUCCCAGGGGUAGGGGUGGCUGCCAUCUCUGUGGUUUGGUAGACUCAGUUGUUUCAGCCUGCCAGCUUUGAAAAAUACAGGUGGUCUGAACAAGGGGGGGAUCCCCACAGGACAGCACAGCUGCCUUGCCAGAUCUUGGCCAGACUGCUUUUUUAAGCAGGACCCUGAACCAUUUCUUCUCACUGGGUGAGACCUCCCUGCAGGGGCUUCAGCCACUCCAGCAAGUGUUCUAUAGACAGAGCUCUGAUCUCUACCCCCAGGGAGAGCUUUGUCCCACAAAGCUCCAGGGGGAGGGGUGGCUACCAUCUCUGCAGUUUGGUAGACUCAGCUGUUCCAGCCUGCUGGCUUUGGAGAAUACAAAUGGUCCAGAUGAGGAAUGGUCCUCCCCAACUCAGCUUACCUGCUCUACCAAAGGGCAGUCAGACUGCUUCUUUAGGUAGGUCCCUGAUCCUGUUCUUUCCCACUGGGUGAGACCUCCUAGCAGGGGUCUUCAACCACCUCCUGCAGCCACAUUCAGGCUGGCAACAAGUGAGUGGCCCCGGAGUUGGAGUUUCUGGAGGAAGGAGCAGGCUUCCCUCUUUGCUGUUUUGCAGGCAUCACUUGUGAUACCUCCAGGUAUGGGAAAAACCGAGGCAACUAGGGUCUGGAGUGGAACCCCAGCAAACCACAACAGCUUUACUGAAGAGUGGCCUGUUAAAACAAACAGAAAAUAACAACAUCCACAAAGAUCUCACAAAAGUCAGAAACCUCAAAGAUUGAAGGUAGAUAACCCCACAAAGAUGAGAAAAAAUCAACACAAAAACACUGAAAACU
rnacentral:lncRNA from 1 species